UUUUAACACGAAGUGAGUGGCGAACGGGUGAGUAACACGUGGGUAACCUGCCCAGAAGUAGGGGAUAACACCUGGAAACAGAUGCUAAUACCGUAUAACAGAGAAAACCGCAUGGUUUUCUUUUAAAAGAUGGCUCUGCUAUCACUUCUGGAUGGACCCGCGGCGUAUUAGCUAGUUGGUGAGGUAAAGGCUCACCAAGGCAGUGAUACGUAGCCGACCUGAGAGGGUAAUCGGCCACAUUGGGACUGAGACACGGCCCAGACUCCUACGGGAGGCAGCAGUAGGGAAUCUUCCACAAUGGACGCAAGUCUGAUGGAGCAACGCCGCGUGAGUGAAGAAGGGUUUCGGCUCGUAAAGCUCUGUUGUUAAAGAAGAACGUGGGUAAGAGUAACUGUUUACCCAGUGACGGUAUUUAACCAGAAAGCCACGGCUAACUACGUGCCAGCAGCCGCGGUAAUACGUAGGUGGCAAGCGUUAUCCGGAUUUAUUGGGCGUAAAGCGAGCGCAGGCGGUCUUUUAAGUCUAAUGUGAAAGCCUUCGGCUCAACCGAAGAAGUGCAUUGGAAACUGGGAGACUUGAGUGCAGAAGAGGACAGUGGAACUCCAUGUGUAGCGGUGAAAUGCGUAGAUAUAUGGAAGAACACCAGUGGCGAAGGCGGCUGUCUGGUCUGCAACUGACGCUGAG
rnacentral:rRNA from 1 species